rnacentral:rRNA from 1 species
UUAAGUGAAUAAGGGCGCACGGUGGAUGCCUUGGCACUAGGAGCCGAUGAAGGACGGGACUAAUACCGAUAUGCUUUGGGGAGCUGUAAGUAAGCUAUGAUCCAGAGAUUUCCGAAUGGGGGAACCCAAUAUCUUUUAUAGGAUAUUACUUUUCAGUGAAUACAUAGCUGAUUAGAGGUAGACGCAGAGAACUGAAACAUCUUAGUACCUGCAGGAAGAGAAAGAAAAUUCGAUUCCCUGAGUAGCGGCGAGCGAAACGGGAAGAGCCCAAACCAACAAGCUUGCUUGUUGGGGUUGUAGGACUCCAAUAUGGUAGUCUGUUAGUAUAGUUGAAGGAUUUGGAAAAUUCCGCUAAAGAGGGUGAAAGCCCCGUAGACGAAAUGCUGACAACACCUAGGAGGAUCCUGAGUACGGCGGAACACGAGAAAUUCCGUCGGAAUCCGCGGGGACCAUCCCGCAAGGCUAAAUACUCCCUAGUGACCGAUAGUGAACCAGUACCGUGAGGGAAAGGUGAAAAGCACCCCGGAAGGGGAGUGAAAUAGAUCCUGAAACCGUGUGCUUACAACAAGUCAAAGCUCGUUAAUGAGUGAUGGCGUGCCUUUUGUAGAAUGAACCGGCGAGUUACGAUUGCAUGCGAGGUCUACAACAAGUCAAAGCUCGUUAAUGAGUGAUGGCGUGCCUUUUGUAGAAUGAACCGGCGAGUUACGAUUGCAUGCGAGGUUAAGUCGAAGAGACGGAGCCGCAGCGAAAGCGAGUCUGAAUAGGGCGAAUGAGUAUGUAGUCGUAGACCCGAAACCAUGUGAUCUACCCAUGUCCAGGUUGAAGGUGCGGUAAAACGCACUGGAGGACCGAACCCACGUACGUUGAAAAGUGCGGGGAUGAGGUGUGGGUAGCGGAGAAAUUCCAAACGAACUUGGAGAUAGCUGGUUCUCUCCGAAAUAGCUUUAGGGCUAGCCUCGGAAUUGAGAAUGAUGGAGGUAGAGCACUGUUUGGACUAGGGGCCCAUCUCGGGUUACCGAAUUCAGAUAAACUCCGAAUGCCAUUCAUUUAUAUCCGGGAGUCAGACUGCGAGUGAUAAGAUCCGUAGUCGAAAGGGAAACAGCCCAGACCACCAGCUAAGGUCCCAAAAUAUAUGUUAAGUGGAAAAGGAUGUGGGGUUGCACAGACAACUAGGAUGUUGGCUUAGAAGCAGCCACCAUUUAAAGAGUGCGUAAUAGCUCACUAGUCGAGUGACCCUGCGCCGAAAAUGUACCGGGGCUAAACAUAUUACCGAAGCUGUGGACUACACCAUUAGGUGUAGUGGUAGGAGAGCGUUCUAAGGGCGUUGAAGGUCGAUCGUGAGGACGGCUGGAGCGCUUAGAAGUGAGAAUGCCGGUAUGAGUAGCGAAAGACAGGUGAGAAUCCUGUCCACCGUAUGACUAAGGUUUCCUGGGGAAGGCUCGUCCGCCCAGGGUUAGUCGGGACCUAAGCCGAGGCCGAUAGGCGUAGGCGAUGGACAACAGGUUGAUAUUCCUGUACCAGUUGUUUUUGUUUGAGCAAUGGAGGGACGCAGUAGGCUAAGGAAUGCAUGCGAUUGGAAGUGCAUGUCCAAGCAAUGAGUCUUGAGUAGAGUUAAAUGCUUUACUCUCUAAGGACAAGUUGUGACGGGGAGCGAAAUAAUAGUAGCGAAGUUCCUGAUGUCACACUGCCAAGAAAAGCUUCUAGUGAGAAAACAACUGCCCGUACCGUAAACCGACACAGGUAGUCGAGGAGAGUAUCCUAAGGUGAGCGAGCGAACUCUCGUUAAGGAACUCGGCAAAAUGACCCCGUAACUUCGGGAGAAGGGGUGCUGACUUCGGUCAGCCGCAGUGAAUAGGCCCAAGCGACUGUUUAUCAAAAACACAGGUCUCUGCAAAAUCGUAAGAUGAAGUAUAGGGGCUGACGCCUGCCCGGUGCUGGAAGGUUAAGAGGAUGGGUUAGCUUCGGCGAAGCUCAGAAUUGAAGCCCCAGUAAACGGCGGCCGUAACUAUAACGGUCCUAAGGUAGCGAAAUUCCUUGUCGGGUAAGUUCCGACCCGCACG